CCUACGGGAGGCAGCAGUGGGGAAUAUUGCACAAUGGGGGAAACCCUGAUGCAGCGACGCCGCGUGAGUGAAGAAGUAUCUCGGUAUGUAAAGCUCUAUCAGCAGGGAAGAAAAUGACGGUACCUGACUAAGAAGCCCCGGCUAACUACGUGCCAGCAGCCGCGGUAAUACGCAGGGGGCAACCGUUAUCCGGAUUUACUGGGUGUAAAGGGAGCGUAUACGGUGCUGCAAGUCCGGAGUGAAAGCCUAUGGCUUAACCAUAGUACUGCUGUUGAUACUGGGGAGCUUGAGUUCGGGAGAGGUAGGCGGAAUUCGUGGUGUAGCGGUGAAAUGCGUAGAUAUUAGGAAGAACACCGACGGCGAAGGCAGCCUGCUGGACCGUAACUGACGUUGAGGCUCGAAAGCGUGGGGAGCAAACAGGAUUAGAUACCCCAGUAGUC
rnacentral:rRNA from 1 species